rnacentral:rRNA from 1 species
UACGGAGGAUCCAAGCGUUAUCCGGAAUCAUUGGGUUUAAAGGGUCCGUAGGCGGCCUAGCAAGUCAGUGGUGAAAUCUCCCCGCUCAACGGGGAAACGGCCAUUGAUACUACUGGGCUUGAAUUAUUAGGAAGUAACUAGAAUAUGUAGUGUAGCGGUGAAAUGCUUAGAUAUUACAUGGAAUACCAAUUGCGAAGGCAGGUUACUACUAAUUGAUUGACGCUGAUGGACGAAAGCGUGGGGAGCGAACAGGAUUAGAUACCCUGGUAGUCCACGCCGUAAACGAUGGAUACUAGCUGUUGGGAGCAAUCUCAGUGGCUAAGCGAAAGUGAUAAGUAUCCCACCUGGGGAGUACGAACGCAAGUUUGAAACUC